UUGAAAGGGAAACGAUUGAAGUCAGUCGUGCUGGCGCGAAAUCAACCCCUCUCAUCCGGGAGACCCCAUGUUGUGGCGAGCCUCAAAACCCCCACAGCAUGUGUCUCACGAUGAGGGGGAGCCCUUUCGUGUCCGCUGGUUAACAUCAAUUUCGAACGUCAUAAAAAGGCUGGAGGGAUGUGGCUCCUUCGGGAGUGUUAUAACCUUUAGCGGAAUGUGGUGUUCGGGAUUGAGGAUUGCAACGAAUACCUUUAGGGCUGUUCCACCUGGCUUCUCUUUGGUAUCCUGGUGACGACAGCUNNNCNUNNNNNNGGGNUUGCCNNGANUACCUCUAGAGUNUGAGCACAACGUUAAGGAUGUUGACGUA
rnacentral:rRNA from 1 species